CGGGGGGGGGGGGCCUAUCAUGCAAGUCGAGCGGAUCGAUGGGAGCUUGCUCCCUGAGAUCAGCGGCGGACGGGUGAGUAACACGUGGGUAACCUGCCUGUAAAACUGGGAUAACUCCGGGAAACCGGGGCUAAUACCGGAUAACACCUACCCCCGCAUGGGGGAAGGUUGAAAGGUGGCUUCGGCUAUCACUUACAGAUGGACCCGCGGCGCAUUAGCUAGUUGGUGAGGUAAUGGCUCACCAAGGCGACAAUGCGUACCCAACCUGAGAGGGUGAUCGGCCACACUGGGACUGAAACACGGCCCAAACUCCUACGGGAGGCAGCAGUAGGGAAUCUUCCGCAAUGGACAAAAGUCUGACGGAGCAACGCCCCGUGAGUGAAAAAGGUUUUCGGAUCGUAAAACUCUGUUGUUAGGGAAAAACAAGUGCCGUUCGAAUAGGGCGGCCCCUUGACGGUACCUAACCAAAAAGCCACGGCUAACUACGUGCCAGCAGCCGCGGUAAUACGUAGGUGGCAAGCGUUGUCCGGAAUUAUUGGGCGUAAAGCGCGCGCAGGUGGUUUCUUAAGUCUGAUGUGAAAGCCCACGGCUCAACCGUGGAGGGUCAUUGGAAACUGGGGAACUUGAGUGCAAAAAAGGAAAGUGGAAUUCCAAGUGUAGCGGUGAAAUGCGUAGAUAUUUGGAGGAACACCAGUGGCGAAGGCGACUUUCUGGUCUGUAACUGACACUGAGGCGCGAAAGCGUGGGGAGCAAACAGGAUUAGAUACCCUGGUAGUCCACGCCGUAAACGAUGAGUGCUAAGUGUUAGAGGGUUUCCGCCCUUUAGUGCUGCAGCUAACGCAUAAGCACUCCGCCUGGGGGAGUACGGUCGCAGACUGAAACUCAAAGGAUUGACGAGUCCGGCACAGCGUGCAAGCAUGUGAUAUUUCGAAGCCACGACGAGAAAACU
rnacentral:rRNA from 2 species